AUACGGAGGAUCCAAGCGUUAUCCGGAUUUAUGGGUUUAAAGGGAGCGUAGGUUGACAUAUAAGUCAGCUGUGAAAGUUUACGGCUCAACCCCAUCACUGCAGCGCGAACUGGAAGGCUUGAGAGUGCGCAACGCAGGUGGAAUUUGUGGUGUAGCGGUGAAAUGCUUAGAUAUCACGAAGAACUCCGAUUGCGAAGGCAACUUGCGGGAGCACGACUGACGCUGAAGCUCGAAAGUGC
rnacentral:rRNA from 1 species